rnacentral:lncRNA from 1 species
ACAAGACUUUCUUGAGCACAAGGUCACCUUCUCGGAACACACGAGGCUUGACCUUCUUAUCAAAAGCUUUCUUCAUUCUCUGCUGAUAUAACUGACCAUGGCACGUGGCAGUUAAUCUCUUCUCUUCAAUCAAAUUCAGUUGGUCGUAACGACUCUGAAUCCAUUCAGCAUCAGUCAACUAGGGAUUUGAGGGUAUACUUUCUUUUAUUCU